UCUGUCAGUCAGGCAGGUGCGUGUGGCUAGCGGCUUGGUGUUCCCGCCCCGCGAGCCGCCCCGGGACAGAGGCGCGCUAGGAGCGCGUGCGCAGCGGUGUCCGCUCGAGUCCCAGACCCGGGUCAGUCAGUCAAUCAGGUGCUGGACUCUCGGAGGGGAUUCUGAGCGGACGUGGCGGCUGCUGGACGGGGCCGCCCACCAGUUGAACGCUGAAUGCUGAGGCGGCUGAGGAGGAAAAUUGGCAUAAUAAGGAUGCUCAUACCAAGUGGAACAAAUGACUUAUUUUCACUGACCAGGAACUAUCCUGAAAGAGAGACAUAGAGUGUGUGAGAAGAGGAGAGGAGCAGAAUCUUCAGCAGUCUCUACACUGAGUGUGCAGCAUGAUGUGGGGCUUGAAGUCACAAACCAUGAGAUCAUGA